rnacentral:rRNA from 1 species
GGACGAACGCUGGCGGCGUGCCUAAUACAUGCAAGUCGAGCGGACAGAAGGGAGCUUGCUCCCGGAUGUUAGCGGCGGACGGGUGAGUAACACGUGGGUAACCUGCCUGUAAGACUGGGAUAACUCCGGGAAACCGGAGCUAAUACCGGAUAGUUCCUUGAACCGCAUGGUUCAAGGAUGAAAGACGGUUUCGGCUGUCACUUACAGAUGGACCCGCGGCGCAUUAGCUAGUUGGUGGGGUAAUGGCUCACCAAGGCGACGAUGCGUAGCCGACCUGAGAGGGUGAUCGGCCACACUGGGACUGAGACACGGCCCAGACUCCUACGGGAGGCAGCAGUAGGGAAUCUUCCGCAAUGGACGAAAGUCUGACGGAGCAACGCCGCGUGAGUGAUGAAGGUUUUCGGAUCGUAAAGCUCUGUUGUUAGGGAAGAACAAGUGCGAGAGUAACUGCUCGCACCUUG